UUAAAUCAAUAUGUCAAUAUGGCUACUGGGUGUAAAAGAUAAAUCUUAUUUUAAUGAGUUUUAGAUAAUUUUAGUUGUAUUUCUUUGUAAUUUUGUGUUGUACAAAGAUUAAUUUAACAUUUUCUCUGGAAGUAUUAAUUUAGAAAGAUAAUAUGCUUCAUUGGUGUUGUGUUUUGAAGUGUGAAAUGCAAAGUAAUUGUGAUAGUCAAGAUAAAGUUCACUUUUAAACUGAACUAAAUAAGGUAUCUGAGAGACAACAAUGGUUAAAUGCAAUACAAUGUACAGGUUUUACUAGCGAAAUGAAAAUUUUCCUGUCCUGUCUGCUGUAAUCAUUUUAUAUCUGGAAAACCAGCCGACUUAAUCGAUAAUAACAAUCUCCAGAUUGGGUUCCUUCAAUAAAUAUGGUCUAUAAACACAAUGAAAUAAGUUCCCCAAAAUCUAAAAUGGAGUGGUAUCAAAGGAGAAUUAAAGGGAAAAAUAUUCAUAUUGAAAUUAUUUAUAAGGCACUGGACUGUCUUAAAUUCUACAAUAAUACUAGAAUCAGCUGAGAGAAGUGGUCUACAAAAAACCAGGAAGGAAACGGAAUAUGUGGCUACGAAAGGCAAAAGAAAGGUUUACAAAGCAAAUGUGACACAUUUUUUUGAAAUAU